UGACUAUUUUCUGGAUAGUGGAUCAGCAAGCUGCCUUUAUGGUACCAUUGCCCAGCCUCUGGUGAAGUCAACAGUACUCUCCUUGUAGAUACAGCUACAGGAGCAGUUCCUUGGACCCGGCAUUGCCAAUCUUGAGGAGGAAAUCUCAGCAAUCCCGAUUUAUAAAAUAUUAUAAAAUAUCACCGUGUAUUCUGAACUAUUUGCUUAAUUGGCCAUUUACCAAGUGGUUCAGACUGCACAGUGGAUAAGUAACUGCUGAUAAACAAACAGGAAAUCGUUGGUCAAAAACAUUGCUUAGAAAUGGAAGCAGAAAAUUCUUUUUACUGGAGGUGCACCUGGAAGGGAUUGACCUUAACCAAUCUCUCCUGUGUCUUGUGAUUUAUACCAAGGUACACUCCUGUGGUAACCAACUAUUCUGAAGUAUCUCACUGAAGCGAAUAUUUGGAGGCUGAAGCUGAGUUGCUAGCUCGACACUCACACCAGCCGGGAUGGAAAGUGUGCAAGGAGCCGGCCAGAUGCGAACUCGGGUCCAAUCGCCUCGACGACCGAUGGUGAUGCCACUGCACCAACAGCCAGCUUUCUCUAUCUGAAGGCGGAUGAAAAAGAAAUAAAAUUUGUUACAGACAAUGCUGAUAACUUUCUGAAAACAUGCCAUUCUGAGAAUGUUACAGUGGUCUGAUCUCUCAGAAAGAUUCAAUACUGUUCUUACUUGGUAUAAAAACAAUGCUGACAUAAUUACACCACUUAGACGAAUGAGAAAUGGAACUGAACAUUUGAUAAUGUAAACAUACAGUGUGUGAUAAAUCCUGACUGGUUAAAUAUGACAUGAUAACAAUUCCAAAUAUAGCAUGCUACUUUCCUAGUUGGUGUAGGUAGUUUAGUUGUCAUUUUAUGUGCAAAAGUAUUUGCUUCAUGCAUAGCAUUCAUAAUAAAUGUCGAGGCAACUGCAUGAAAAUCGAGAAGGAAAUACUGCCAAUUAUUUCUGAAAGCAAGAUAUUUCAUCAGUACACGCUAAACAUUCACACUUAUCGCAGAACAUAUUCACAUUCCUGCAUCCUAAGGCAUCAGUUCCAACAUUGGUAACGUCAUGAUACACAGGUAGGCAGUUUUGCUUUCAUAGAAUGAUAAUAAGAUUUAAUGUAAUUUGUAAAAAACAGAAUAUCAUUGCUGAUGCUGUAUCUAAACAUUUCAUGAGUUAUCAGUUCUCAAACUGGAACUUCUAGCAAGAAUUGCUACAAGCACUGACACUACUCAUGAACUCUGUGAAUAUACUUUGUUGUUGGUCCUCUCCAUGCUUUGUGGUGCGUCAGGAGGCAACCUUGCCAUUUGUUUAGCACAUUUGUGAUUUUUUUUUGAAGUUCAUCAAACAGACAUUUCCAUAAGAUGUAUUUCAGACAUUGUACAUAUAUAUCAUAUAAUCAUACAUAUCACAAAUCUCCACGAAGUAUUUAUCUGGGGUAUACACUUAUAGAAAAGAGUGGAAAGAAAAAACAAGCAAAAGGAAAGAACUAUGUACAAGUAGGGAGUGAUCUUUUUUUUACAACAGAAUCAUUGAUUUGUGAGAAUAAAAUCAGGCCUAUGAGGCAUUAUGUAGUUAAAACAUUUUUCCCAGUAUGAAUCAAAUUGUUCCAGCUUAUGAUUAACAGAUACUGUUAUCUUCUCUAUUUUGUAAAUGUCCAUUGUAAUUUCCAUCCAUGCAUUUAAAGUUGGGAUCUCCUGUGAUAACCAUUUCCUAGUAAGAGUCUUUUUACCAGCCACCAACAGGAUAUUCAUUACAUAUUUAUCUCUUUUCAACCAUUCUUGAGGUAUAUAUCCAAAAUAUAUGGUCUUAUUCUCCAAGGGUAUUACUGUCAGGAACGGGGCCAGAUGGACCCAAACGCAGGACGCAGACACGGAAGUACUAGGGGGAAGACAGGAUGGGGAUGCCAUGGCAUUUAAGGGUAGAGCUGGGGUUCAGGUAGAUAGAGUGUCAGGCAGGCAGAGUGGAGCGGGCUCCCGGAGUUCAGACAGGCAGGCAGACAGGACCCCGGGGUUCAGGCAGGCAGGCAGACCGGUCUAUGUGGCUAGAUAAGCUGGCGGAGAGCCCUCCCUGGAUGGGCCGCAUAUAUCCUGGGUAGGGCCGUCUCCCAGGCGGAACCACCGGAGGCUUGGGCACGAUGCGGACCCCUAGGCGGGUGCAGGGCACGAUCCCAGGGUUCAGGCAGAAGAGGAGGAUGGGGCAGGCAUCCAGGCAGCAGCAGACCGGCCGGGCCUACCCAACGGAGGCAAGGGAUAGGAACGGGCAGAAACACCACCGGGCAGCGGCAAACCGGCCGGCCCUGCCCAACGGAGGCAAGGGGUAGGAACAGGCAUAGGUCUAGGGUGACCAACACAACAGUCAUGAUAGCAGGAAAAUCGGGAAAGGCUGGCAGACAGCGCGACCGCACGAACAAAACUAACGAGUGGAGAAGCGGGACCAGCACAUGGGAAGAAAGGUGGGGGAGAGGACCAACUUGGCAUUACUGGUACGGGGCAGAGAAGCAUGAUGAGCAGUAGAUCUGAAACCGGGCAGGAUAACAGAAUGCAGAGAAGAGUUCAGAGCUGGUGGUGAAACAGAACAAAACGACCACCCCCUGGUCCCUUAUAAACACCUGCAGCUCAAUGAGUUACAGGUGUGUCUCCUUGAGCCAGGAGGGUCCUAACUAGAUCACAGGUGACGGGAGGGGCAACUGCAGGACCCAGAGUCUGGAGUCCUCGGACCGGAUCGAGACCCGGAACAUGGAUUCCGGACCGGACCGGACCCUGACAAUUUCACAUUUAAAGAUGUCUUCUAGGGCAUUGUGUAUCCCCCUCCAAUAGAUUUUGAUAUCAGGGCAGUCCCAAAAAAUAUGAUAAGGAUUUGCAUAUUGAUUUCCACAAUUUCUCCAGUAAACAGAGAGGUUACUAUCAUAAUGGGAUUUCUAAGAGGAUGUAAUAAAAUAUCUUGUCAAGUUUUUCCAUCCAAACUCCCUCCAUUUCUGUGAAUUGGUACACUUCCAUUGAUAUCUCCAUAUUGUUGUCCAUUCUUCCUCAGAUAUAAUUAUCCCUCCUUCCUUCUCCCAUUUUGUUUUAAUGUAUGAAGUCAAAUGUGUUUUAAGAUUUGACAGCCCAUUAUACAUGCUUGAAAUGAUUCUACUACCAUUAUCUGAAUUAUAUGCUUUUCUAAAGAGCUCUAUCAAGUAUGUAUUUG